rnacentral:pre_miRNA from 1 species
UAGCUACUCCCUCCGUCCGAAAAUACUUGUCAUUAAAAUGGAUGUAUCUAGAUGUAUUUUAAUUCUAGAUACAUCUAUUUUCAUUCAUUUUGAUGACAAGUAUUUUCGGACGGAGGGAGUGCUUU